rnacentral:rRNA from 1 species
AACGAACGCUGGCGGCGGGCUUAACACAUGCAAGUCGAACGCAUCGCAAGAUGAGUGGCAGACGGGCGAGUAACGCGUGGGAACAUACCCCUUUCUACGGAAUAGCUCUGGGAAACUGGAAUUAAUACCGCACACGCCCUACGGGGGCAAGAUUCAUCGGGGAAGGAUUGGCCCGCGUUGGAUUAGCUAGUUGGUGGGGUAAAGGCCUACCAAGGCGACGAUCCAUAGCUGGUCUGAGAGGAUGAUCAGCCACAUUGGGACUGAGACACGGCCCAAACUCCUACGGGAGGCAGCAGUGGGGAAUAUUGGACAAUGGGCGCAAGCCUGAUCCAGCCAUGCCGCGUGAGUGAUGAAGGCCUUAGGGUUGUAAAGCUCUUUCACCGAUGAAGAUAAUGACGGUAGUCGGAGAAGAAGCCCCGGCUAACUUCGUGCCAGCAGCCGCAGUAAAAC